GCCUGGGUGGCUCAAUUGGUUAAGCAUCCGACUUCAGCUCAGGUCAUAAUCUCAUGGUCCGUGAGUUCGAGUCCCACGUCAGGCU
rnacentral:tRNA from 1 species